rnacentral:rRNA from 1 species
UCAGGCCUAACACAUGCAAGUCGAGCGCGCCCUUCGGGGUGAGCGGCGGACGGGUUUGUAACGCGUGGGAACGUGCCCUUCUCUAAGGAAUAGCCACUGGAAACGGUGAGUAAUACCUUAUACGCCCCCCAAUCAAAUUCCAUUUGGUUGACGGAAAUUCUGUUGAAUGCCGGAUGGCAUUUGAUGGGGGGGAAAGAUUUAUCGGAGAAGGAUCGGCCCGCGUUAGAUUAGAUAGUUGGUGGGGUAAUGGCCUACCAAGUCUACGAUCUAUAGCUGGUUUUAGAGGAUGAUCAGCAACACUGGGACUGAGACACGGCCCAGACUCCUACGGGAGGCAGCAGUAGGGAAUCUUGGACAAUGGGCGCAAGCCUGAUCCAGCCAUGCCGCGUGAGUGAAGAAGGCCUUAGGGUCGUAAAGCUCUUUCGCCUGUGAUGAUAAUGACAGUAGCAGGUAAAGAAACCCCGGCUAACUCCGUGCCAGCAGCCGCGGUAAUACGGAGGGGGUUAGCGUUGUUCGGAAUUACUGGGCGCAAAGCGCGCGUAGGCGGAUUGGAAAGUUAGAGGUGAAAUCCCGGGGCUCAACCCCGGAACGGCCUUUAAUACUCCCAGUCUAGAGUUCGAGAGAGGUGAGUGGAAUUCCAAGUGUAGAGGUGAAAUUCGUAGAUAUUUGGAGGAACACCAGUGGCGAAGGCGGUCUCACU